CUCAGUAUCCGGGACGGCAGCGAGGGCUGCGUCUGCGGGCGCGCGCGCUGCCGGCUGUCCACGAUGAGCACGUGUCGGUCGUACGGAGUGUCGUAGUCCACCUCCAGAACCGUAGAGAACCGAUGCGGCCACGUGAGGUCCAGCGCCGCGAUCACUAGCCCCACGAACACGCAUGUGCAACCUG